rnacentral:sRNA from 1 species
GCUGGGCUCAGUGGCGCAUGCCUGUAAUCCCAACAGCUUGGGAGGCUGAGACAGGAGGAUUGCAGGUUCAAAGCCAGCCUCAGUAUCAACGAGGCACUAAGCAACUCAGUGAGACCAUGUCUCUA